CGGGAGUCGGAACGUACCAAGUGGGAGGCGGAACGUACCAAGUGGGAGGCGGGAGUGGCUGUGCAGGCCGGAACUCCUCCCUGCAGGGGCGAGUGUAGUUUGUGAGUUCAGACCCGGGAAAACGAUGCUGCGAUCUUGGUUUGAGGCAAAGGAGGGAACUCGACUGCUAUACUCGCGGAUGCAGCAGGCUGGCUGCGGGGCAUCGGAAGAUGGGGCACCGGGGAGCGCCCGGGUCUGCGCGACAGUGCGCCUGCGCGGUAGGGCGCGUGACCCCGACGCGUGCUGGGAGCUCGGCUGGUCGGCUGCGUGCGCGCCCUCACCUGCGCCAGGUGGGGCAGCAAUACCAGUUAGUGUGCACCUGCCGCAAGGAUAAUACUCCAAAAUACGCCCCCCUUCCAUUCACACCUUCGAAUGACCUUUUUCCGAGAAAUUUAAGUGUAUUUUUCCACAUUCGAGGUGGUAGUUAAGAGGAAACUUAGCAAAUCCUGGAGAAGAGUGCGUGAGGAAAAUUGACCGUCUCUUAGCAGCGGGUACUCUGACUUCCUUCUGGACACCUUAUUUACGUUGUGGUUAAUCUGAGAGGAUUUGUACAUGCUUUUACUUAACCACCAAAGGGGUUACAUAAUUGGAGGGAAACCUUUUUCUGACUUCCUUCUGGACGGUUUUUAUUUACACUGAGGUUAAUCCUCCACAAUUUGUGCAUGCUUUAUUUAACCAAUAAAGGAGUUACAUAAUUGGAGUGAAA